rnacentral:rRNA from 1 species
UGUCAAACCCGGAGGAAGGUGGGGAUGACGUCAAGUCCUCAUGGCCUUUAUGUCUAGGGCUACACACGUACUACAAUGGCAGGUACAAAGGGCAGCGACACAGCGAUGUGAUGCGAAUCCCGAAAAGCCUGUCUCAGUCCGGAUCGGAGUCUGCAACUCGACUCCGUGAAGUUGGAAUCGCUAGUAAUCGUGGAUCAGCAUGCCACGGUGAAUACGUUCCCGGGCCUU